rnacentral:rRNA from 1 species
UUCCUACGGGGGGCAGCAGUGAGGAAUAUUGGUCAAUGGGCGGGAGCCUGAACCAGCCAAGUCGCGUGAAGGAAGAAGGUACUUAGUAUUGUAAACUUCUUUUGUCGGGGAACAAAGGCGGAGACGCGUCUCCGGAUGAGUGUACCCGAAGAAAAAGCAUCGGCUAACUCCGUGCCAGCAGCCGCGGUAAUACGGAGGAUGCGAGCGUUAUCCGGAUUUAUUGGGUUUAAAGGGUGCGUAGGCGGGCUGUUAAGUCAGCGGUCAAAUGUCGGGGCUCAACCCCGGCCUGCCGUUGAAACUGGCGG